CCUACGGGUGGCAGCAGUGGGGAAUAUUGGACAAUGGGGGCAACCCUGAUCCAGCCAUGCCGCGUGUGUGAAGAAGGCCCUCGGGUUGUAAAGCACUUUCAGUGAGGAAGAACGCCUGGUGGUUAAUACCCAUCAGGAAAGACGUCACUCACAGAAGAAGCACCGGCUAACUCCAUGCCAGCAGCCGCGGUAAUACGGAGGGUGCGAGCGUUAAUCGGAAUUACUGGGCGUAAAGCGCGCGUAGGUGGCUUGAUAAGCCGGUUGUGAAAGCCCCGGGCUCAACCUGGGAACGGCAUCCGGAACUGUCAAGCUAGAGUGCAGGAGAGGAAGGUAGAAUUCCCGGUGUAGCGGUGAAAUGCGUAGAGAUCGGGAGGAAUACCAGUGGCGAAGGCGGCCUUCUGGACUGACACUGACACUGAGGUGCGAAAGCGUGGGUAGCAAACAGGAUUAGAUACCCCGGUAGUC
rnacentral:rRNA from 1 species